rnacentral:lncRNA from 1 species
GGGGUUGUGGUUGAGAAAUUAGGAUAACAAGAAUUUUUGUUGAUAGAUGAGUAUUUUUUUAAAUUUUUUGAUCAAUAGUUGUAUUUUGUAAAUAUAAUUCCCAAAAAUUCUAUUUUAGGAAAGUUUUCAUUUUUUCAUAGAAAUAUUGUAGAUUUGGGGUUGUGGUUUAGAAAUUAGGAUAACAAGAAUUUUUUUGAUAGAUGAGUAUUUUUUUAGAUUUUUUGAUCAAUAGUUGUAUUUUUUAAAUAUAAUUCCCAAAAAUUCUAUUUUAGGAAAGUUUUCAUUUUUUCAUAAAAAUAUUGUAGAUUUGGGGUUGUGGUUUAGAAAUUAGGAUAACAAGAAUUUUUGUUGAUAUAUGAGUAUUCUUUUAGAUUUUUUGAUCAAUAGCUGUAUUUUUUAAAAAUAAUUCUCAAAAUUCUAUUUUAGGAAAGUUUUUUUUUUUUAUAGAAAUAUUGUAGAUUUGGGGUUGUUGUUUAGAAAUUAGGAUAACAAGAAUUGUUUUUGAUAGAUGAGUAUUUUUUUUAUAUUUUUUGAUCAAUAGGUUGUAUAUUUUAAAUAUGAUUCUCAGAAAUUCUAUUUUUGGAAAGUUUUCAUUUUUUCAUAGAAAUAUUGUAGAUUAGGGGUUGUGGUUUAGAAAUUAGGAUAACAAGAAUUUUUGUUGAUAGAUGAGUAUUUUUUUUUUAAAUUUUUGAUCAAUAAGUUACAUUUUUAAAAAAUAAUUCUUAAAAGUUCUAUUUUAGGAAAGUUUUCAUUUUUUUAUAGAAAUAUUGUAGAUUUUGGGUUGUAAUUUAGAAAUUAGGAUAAUAAUAAUUUUUGUUCAUAGGUGAGUAUUCUUUUAAAUUUUUUGAUCAAUAGUUGUAUUUAGUAAAUAUAAUUCUCAAAAAUUCUAUUUUAGGAAAGUUUUCAUUUUUUCAUAGAAAUAUUGUAGAUUUGGGGUUGUGGUUUAGAAAUUAGGAUAACAAGAAUUUUUGUUGAUAG